CCCGCACAAGCGGUGGAGCAUGUGGUUUAAUCGAAGCAACGCGAAGAACCUUACCAGGUCUUGACAUCCCGAUGCUAUUUCUAGAGAUAGAAAGUUACUUCGGUACAUCGGUGACAGGUGGUGCAUGGUUGUCGUCAGCUCGUGUCGUGAGAUGUUGGGUUAAGUCCCGCAACGAGCGCAACCCCUAUUGUUAGUUGCCAUCAUUCAGUUGGGCACUCUAGCGAGACUGCCGGUAAUAAACCGGAGGAAGGUGGGAUGACGUCAAAUCAUCAUGCCCCUUAUGACCUGGGCUACACACGUGCUACAAUGGUUGGUACAACGAGUUGCGAGUCGGUGACGGCGAGCUAAUCUCUUAAAGCCAAUCUCAGUUCGGAUUGUAGGCUGCAACUCGCCUACAUGAAGUCGGAAUCGCUAGUAAUCGCGGAUCAGCACGCCGCGGUCGAAUACGUUCCCGGGCCUU
rnacentral:rRNA from 1 species